rnacentral:rRNA from 1 species
AUAGCAUAUAUUAAAGUUGCUGCGGUUAAAAAGCUCGUAGUUGGAUCUGGGUAGUCGAUGGACGGUGCGCCUCACGGCGUCUACUGUUCGUUCGGCACCACAUGCCGGCCAUGUCUUGCAUGCUCUUCACUGAGUGUGCUUGGCGACCGGAACGUUUACUUUGAAAAAAUUAGAGUGCUCAAAGCAGGCGUUAAGCCUUGCAUAAUGGUGCAUGGAAUAAUGGAAUAGGACCUCGGUUCUAUUUUGUUGGUUUUCGGAGCUCGAGGUAAUGAUUAACAGGAACAGACGGGGACAUUCGUAUUGCGGCGUUAGAGGUGAAAUUCUUGGAUCGCAGCGAGACGCACGACAG